CGAUUUAGAAAUGGAAUCAGAUAAUGAAUUCUAUAAUAUAACAAAUGACUGAAACAGAUAUACAAAUAAUAAAUAAAGAAGAACAUCAAGACGAAAGAAUCUUUAGAACAAAAAAUAAUAUUUGAUAAUAGUAUAUUUGAACAAAUAAAAGGAAAAGAAUUAGACCUAAGCGUAGCAAAAAUAUUUGAAAUACCAACAAUAAGAA
rnacentral:lncRNA from 1 species